rnacentral:rRNA from 1 species
UAGGGAAUCUUCCACAAUGGGCGCAAGCCUGAUGGAGCAACGCCGCGUGAGUGAAGAAGGUCUUCGGAUCGUAAAACUCUGUUGUUAGAGAAGAACAUGCAGGAGAGUAACUGUUCUUGUAUUGACGGUGUCUAACCAGAAAGCCACGGCUAACUACGUGCCAG